rnacentral:lncRNA from 1 species
AUGGAACUGAUAAUACUUUCUCCAAUUAUGGUUUCUCGAUGAUGCUUUCAUCGGUGGAGGGUGUCAUAGAUAUUCUGCUCCUUCGAUCUCUAUGAAGAUCUGCGCAGGAGAGCAGAAAGAAGAGUGUAGGAGUCAUACCUAUCGUAACUCAGUCUUGGACUCCAUCGUCGGGGCGAAGUUCGCUUAUUGGAAGGUGGCUGACUUGACUCGAUCAGAGCUCCUUCCUUCUUCUGUUUCUUUUUCUUCUGACCUUUGUCUUUUCUUUGACAUCGGUUAGAAGCUCCUUUAUCCACGUGCAUAUACUUGUAUGCACGCUCUAGAAGUUUAGCAUAAGUCCAAGGGAGAGUCUUGUCCAAAGAAUAUGUGAAUCGAGAUCCCUUUAGACCUCUUUUCAUGGUCGAUAUGGCCAUGUCUUCAUUGAGGUCCUUGAUCUCAAGUGUGGCUGCAUUAAAACGGGCCACAAAAUCUCAAAGUAUCUCAGUCUCUCCUUAUU